GGCGAACGGGUGAGUAACACGUGAGAAAUCUGCCCCUGACUCUGGGAUAACUGCGGGAAACUGUAGCUAAUACCGGAUACUUUCCCUGGUGGGCAUCCACUGGGGAAGAAAGAAUUUCGGUCAGGGAGGAUCUCGCGGCCUAUCAGCUAGUUGGUGAGGUAACGGCUCACCAAGGCGACGACGGGUAACCGGCCUGAGAGGGUGACCGGUCACACUGGGACUGAGACACGGCCCAGACUCCUACGGGAGGCAGCAGUGGGGAAUAUUGCACAAUGGGCGCAAGCCUGAUGCAGCAACGCCGCGUGAGGGAUGAAGGCCUUCGGGUUGUAAACCUCUUUUAGCAGGGAAGAAGCGAAAGUGACGGUACCUGCAGAAAAAGCACCGGCUAACUACGUGCCAGCAGCCGCGGUAAUACGUAGGGUGCAAGCGUUGUCCGGAAUUAUUGGGCGUAAAGAGCUC
rnacentral:rRNA from 1 species